rnacentral:rRNA from 1 species
GCUGUUCGCCGGUUAAAGCGGUACGUGAGCUGGGUUUAGAACGUCGCGAGACAGUUCGGUCUCUAUCUGUGAUGGGCGCAGGAGAUUUGAGUGGGGCUGACCUUAGUACGAGAGGACCGGGUUGGACGGACCUCUAGUGUAUCGGUUGUCGCGCCAGCGGCAGCGCCGAGUAGCUACGUCCGGAAGGGAGAAACGCUGAAGGCAUCUAAGCGUGAAACCCUCCACGAGAUGAGAUCUCCCAGGUCGAAAGACCUCUAAAGGCUCCUGGUAGACGACCAGGUUGAUAGGCCAGAUGUGGAAGCGCCGUGAGGCGUUGAGCUGACUGGUACUAAUAAGCCGUGCGGCUUGACCAU